rnacentral:rRNA from 1 species
UACGUAGGGUGCAAGCGUUGUCCGGAAUUAUUGGGCGUAAAGAGCUCGUAGGCGGUUUGUCGCGUCUGCUGUGAAAACUGGAGGCUCAACCUCCAGCCUGCAGUGGGUACGGGCAGACUAGAGUGCGGUAGGGGAGAUUGGAAUUCCCGGUGUAGCGGUGGAAUGCGUAGAGAUCGGGAAGAACAUCAGUGGCGAAGGCGGCCUGCUGGGCUGUUGCUGACGCUGAGGCGCGACAGCGUGGGGAGCAAACAGG